rnacentral:rRNA from 1 species
UAGAGUUUGAUCCUGGCUCAGGAUGAACGCUGGCGGCGUGCUUAACACAUGCAAGUCGAACGAUGAUCCGGUGCUUGCACCGGGGAUUAGUGGCGAACGGGUGAGUAACACGUGAGUAACCUGCCCUUGACUCUGGGAUAAGCCUGGGAAACUGGGUCUAAUACCGGAUACGACCUUCGAUGGCAUCAUUGGAGGUGGAAAGCUCCGACGGUCAAGGAUGGGCUCGCGGCCUAUCAGCUUGUUGGUGAGGUAACGGCUCACCAAGGCUUCGACGGGUAGCCGGCCUGAGAGGGCGACCGGCCACACUGGGACUGAGAUACGGCCCAGACUCCUACGGGAGGCAGCAGUGGGGAAUAUUGCACAAUGGGCGCAAGCCUGAUGCAGCAACGCCGCGUGCGGGAUGACGGCCUUCGGGUUGUAAACCGCUUUCAGCUCCGACGAAGGUAACCUGACGGUAGGAGCAGAAGAAGGACCGGCCAACUACGUGCCAGCAGCCGCGGUGAUACGUAGGGUCCGAGCGUUGUCCGGAAUUAUUGGGCGUAAAGGGCUUGUAGGCGGUUUGUCACGUCGGAAGUGAAAUCUCAGAGCUUAACUCUGAGCCUGCUUCCGAUACGGGCAAACUAGAGGGAUGCAGGGGAGAACGGAAUUCCUGGUGGAGCGGUGGAAUGCGCAGAUAUCAGGAGGAACACCGGUGGCGAAGGCGGUUCUCUGGGCAUUUCCUGACGCUGAGAAGCGAAAGCGUGGGGAGCAAACAGGCUUAGAUACCCUGGUAGUCCACGCCGU